rnacentral:lncRNA from 7 species
UAUCUGCAUUUCAGAAAUAUUCAGAAUCUGAAUCCUAGUGGGCAUGCUUUGCGUUGCAUGAACUACUUAUGGUUAUGGUUUGGCCUGGUUCUUUGGGGUGGGCGUGACUUAUUGUGCUGCUACAAGGAGCAGAGCUACCCGAGCCAUACCGGGUUGCUGCAGCUCUGGCUUUCUUGGUCCUAGAGGGGAGCCGGAGCAAGGGAGGCGGC